AUUGAACGCUGGCGGCAUGCCUUAUACAUGCAAGUCGAACGGCAGCGGACCUUCGGGUGCCGGCGAGUGGCGAACGGGUGAGUAAUGCAUCGGAACGUACCUUUCAGUGGGGGAUAACGUAGCGAAAGUUACGCUAAUACCGCAUCUUCUGGGAGCAGGAAAGCAGGGGAUCGCAAGACCUUGCGCUGAUUGAGUGGCCGAUGUCAGAUUAGCUAGUUGGUGAGGUAAAGGCUCACCAAGGCGACGAUCUGUAGCGGGUCUGAGAGGAUGAUCCGCCACACUGGAACUGAGACACGUUCCAGACUCCUACGGGAGGCAGCAGUGGGGAAUUUUGGACAAUGGGGGCAACCCUGAUCCAGCCAUGCCGCGUGAGUGAAGAAGGCCUUCGGGUUGUAAAGCUCUUUCGGCCGGGAAGAAAUCGCACGGGCUAAUACCCUGUGUGGAUGACGGUACCGGAAUAAGAAGCACCGGCUAACUACGUGCCAGCCGCCGCAGUAAGAC
rnacentral:rRNA from 1 species